GGAACAGAAGGCUAAAGACACUGGAACCGUCUCCAGGCCGUGACCGGACAAUUUGUUUUCCGCCUCUGGGCAACAGGGACAGAACAGCUUUCUUCACUUCAGAUGCCAUACAUCCUCUCAGCAUCUAAAUUCUACACGCAGAUGUAUUGUUCAAAUCCCAUGACUAUACCUCCUCAUCACGUGGAGACUGAGAAACAUGGUGAGAACCAUUGAAGGAGACAUAGACCAGAUUCUUUCAUAUGCUGCAGAAGAUGCAGGAAUUUGAAGCACGCAAAAAGCAAGAACACUCUGAGGCGGUGUGAUGCCUUCAUGCUGGAAAGGGACUGUGCUUGGCAAGGUCCCAGGCUGCCUUCUUGGUUUUAAUACCUGAAGAUAUGCUGUAUUCUGAAAUAUUUUAAAGUUCAUUUCCAAACUUAUAUCCAGAGUGUGCCUAUAAAUUAUUCUGGAAACGUAAAU